UACGUAUGGGGCAAGCGUUAUCCGGAUUUACUGGGUGUAAAGGGAGCGCAGGCGGCCUGGCAAGCCCGAUGUGAAAUACCGGGGCCCAACCCCGGGGCUGCAUUGGGAACUGCCAGGCUGGAGUGCCGGAGAGGCAGGCGGAAUUCCUAGUGUAGCGGUGAAAUGCGUAGAUAUUAGGAGGAACACCAGUGGCGAAGGCGGCCUGCUGGACGGUGACUGACGCUGAGGCUCGAAAGCGUGGGGAGCAAACAGG
rnacentral:rRNA from 1 species